rnacentral:misc_RNA from 1 species
UUUUAUUUCCUUGUAUUUAAAGUACUAUUACUUUUAAUAAACUUUUCCAUGUAUAAUUAGGAUUUGCAAUCUGAUAAAUAGGUACUUAAUGUACUAUGUAGAAAGGAGAUAGUCAACCAAAAACUAAAAGACUCCUUCAAUUGCAUGUUCUGGAGAGUCCUCGAGGACAAGAUCAAGUCAAUCAAGCUUCCCAGUGUUCCUGUCCUCAAAACAGUAUAACUAUCCAAAUUAUGAAGUCCUCAAAUCUAAUCUUUCUUUACUGAUAUGAAUCUGAAUCAUAUGAUAACUCAAAAUGAAUGAUAA